GACGAACCGUACAAACGUUAUUCGGAAUUACUGGGCUUAAAGGGUGCGUAGGCUGUGCGGAAAGUUGGGUGUGAAAUCCUCCAGCUCAACUGGGGAACUGCGCUCAAAACUACCGUGCUUGAGGAAGACAGAGGUGAGCGGAACUUAGGGUGGAGCGGUGAAAUGCGUUGAUAUCCUAAGGAACACCGGUGGCGAAAGCGGCUCACUGGGUCUUUUCUGACGCUGAGGCACGAAAGCUAGGGGAGCAAACGGG
rnacentral:rRNA from 1 species